GACGAACGCUGGCGGCGUGCUUAACACAUGCGAGUCGAACGGAAAGGCCUUUUCGGAGGUACUCGAGUGGCGAACGGGUGAGUAACACGUGGGUGAUCUGCCCUGCACUCUGGGAUAAGCCUGGGAAACUGGGUCUAAUACCGGAUAGGACCGCACUUUAGUGUGUGUGGUGGAAAGUUUUUUCGGUGUAGGAUGAGCCCGCGGCCUAUCAGCUUGUUGGUGGGGUAAUGGCCUACCAAGGCGGCGACGGGUAGCCGGACUGAGAGGUUGGUCGGCCACAUUGGGACUGAGAUACGGCCCAGACUCCUACGGGAGGCAGCAGUGGGGAAUAUUGCACAAUGGGCGCAAGCCUGAUGCAGCGACGCCGCGGGGGGGAUGACGGCCUUCGGGUUGUAAACUCCUUUCGCCAGGGACGAAGCGUUUUGUGACGGUACCUGGAGAAGAAGCACCGGCUAACUACGUG
rnacentral:rRNA from 1 species